CACGAACACUCUGGAGAGACCGGCCGCCCGCCAGGGCCGCGCCGGCGCCGAAGGGGCAAGAAGCCGCGACCUCGUCCGCGCCGCUUCCAAACUCUCAGGCAAAAGGACAGAGGGGCGCCU
rnacentral:ncRNA from 1 species